UACGUAGGGAGCAAGCGUUGUUCGGAUUUACUGGGCGUAAAGGGCACGUAGGCGGCAGAUCAAGUCAGUUGUGAAAUCUCUGAGCUUAACUCAGAACUGUCAACUGAUACUGCUCUGCUAGAGUGCGGAAGGGGCAAUCGGAAUUCUUGGUGUAGCGGUGAAAUGCGUAGAUAUCAAGAGGAACACCUGAGGUGAAGACGGGUUGCUGGGCCGACACUGACGCUGAGUGCGCGAAAGCCAGGGGAGCAAACGGG
rnacentral:rRNA from 1 species